GACGAACCGUGCGAACGUUAUUCGGAAUCACUGGGCUUAAAGCGCGUGUAGGCGGGACGGCACGUCGGUCGCUGAAAUCCCCCGGCUCAACCGGGGAACGGGCGCCGAUACGACCGCCCUGGAGGGACGUAGGGGGACCUGGAACUUCCGGUGGAGCGGUGAAAUGCGUUGAGAUCGGAAGGAACGCCCGUGGCGAAAGCGAGGUCCUGGACGUUUUCUGACGCUGAGACGCGAAAGCGUGGGGAGCGAACAGG
rnacentral:rRNA from 1 species